AACCCAUGAUAAGGGCAUCUCCUGAGGAGAUCCUUGAACCUCUCAUGUGCUUCAAACAGUGUUUCGGACUCUCCUUUCUUGAAUGUUGAGAUUUCCUAUCUAAUCUU